CGUAGGGAAACCGAGUCUUAACUGGGCGAAUGAGUUGCAGGGUAUAGACCCGAAACCCGGUGAUCUAUCCAUGGGCAGGUUGAAGGUUGGGUAACACUAACUGGAGGACCGAACCGACUAAUGUUGAAAAAUUAGCGGAUGACUUGUGGAUGGGGGUGAAAGGCCAAUCAAACCGGGAGAUAGCUGGUUCUCCCCGAAAGCUAUUUAGGUAGCGCCUCGUGAACUCAUCUUCGGGGGUAGAGCACUGUUUCGACUAGGGGGUCAUCCCGACUUACCAACUCGAUGCAAACUGCGAAUACCGAAGAAUGUUAUCACGGGAGACACACGGCGGGUGCUAACGUCCGUCGUGAAGAGGGAAACAACCCAGACCGCCAGCUAAGGUCCCAAAGUCAUGGUUAAGUGGGAAACGAAGUGGGAAGGCUCAGACAGCCAGGAUGUUGGCUUAGAAGCAGCCAUCAUUUAAAGAAAGCGUAAUAGCUCACUGGUCGAGUCGGCCCGCGCGGAAGAUGUAACGGGGCUAAACCAUGCACCGAAGCUGCGGCAGCGACACAUAGUGUUGUUGGGUAGGGGAGCGUUCUGUAAGCCUGCGAAGGUGUACUGUGAGGUAUGCUGGAGGUAUCAGAAGUGCGAAUGCUGACAUAAGUAACGAUAAUGCGGGUGAAAAACCCGCACGCCGGAAGACCAAGGGUUCCUGUCCAACGUUAAUCGGGGCAGGGUGAGUCGACCCCUAAGGCGAGGCUGAAAAGCGUAGUCGAUGGGAAACGGGUUAAUAUUCCCGUACUGGUGGUAACUGCGAUGGGGGAACGGAGAAGGCUAGGUUGUCCGGGCGACGGUCGUCCCGGUUCAAGCAGGUAGGCAGAGUGAUUAGGCAAAUCCGGUCACUUAAUGC
rnacentral:rRNA from 1 species